rnacentral:rRNA from 1 species
UGGGGAAUCUUGCGCAAUGGGAGCAAUCCUGACGCAGCGACGCCGCGUGGGGGAGGAAGGGCUUCGGCUCGUAAACCCCUGUUGCCCGGGGCGAACCUCUGGUUUCGACCAGACUGACGGUACCGGGUGAGGAAGCACCGGCUAACUCCGUGCCAGCAGCCGCGGUAAUACAGAGGGUGCGAGCGUUGUCCGGAAUCACUGGGCGUAAAGGGCGCGUAGGUGGUGGCUUAAGCGUGCGGUGAAAGCUCGGAGCUCAACUCCGAGUCGGCCGUGCGAACUGGGCUCACUGGAGCAUAGUAGAGGCAGGUGGAAUUCCGGGUGUAGCGGUGGAAUGCGUAGAGAUCCGGAAGAACACCGGUGGCGAAGGCGGCCUGCUGGGCUAUGGCUGACACUGAGGCGCGACAGCGUGGGGAGCAAAC